rnacentral:rRNA from 1 species
UACGUAGGUGGCAAGCGAUACUCGGAAUCACUAGGCGUAAAGCGCAGGUAGGCGGUUUGGUAAGUCUUUUGUGAAAGCUCCCGGCUUAACUGGGAGAGGUCAAGGGAAACUACUAGACUAGAGUGUGGUAGGGGAUACUGGAAUUCCUGGUGUAGCGGUGAAAUGCGCAGAUAUCAGGAGGAACACCGGUGGCGAAGGCGGGUCUCUGGGCCGAUACUGACGCUGAGGAGCGAAAGCGUGGGGAGCGAACAGG